UAACGCCUGGCCCUGUGGAAUAUCUAAACGGCCGCGGUAUUAAAACCGUGCAAAGGUAGCACAAUCACUUGUCCCUUAAAUGAGGACCCGUAUGAAAGGCAACAUGAGAGAAGACCUGUCUCCUGAGGUUAGCCAAUGAAAUUGAAUUACCAGUACAAAAGCUGGUAUUAACAAGCAAGACAAAAAGACCCUAUGGAACUUCAACAAAUUAUUUACACAGACUAAAUAAUAGUUUCAGUUGGGACAACCUUAGAGAAAAUUAACCUCAAAACACGAGAUAGACCAACAAGUCUAAAACACUUAUGACCCAGUCACACUGAUUAACGAAACAAGCUACCCUAGGGAUAACAGCGCCACCUUCUCAAAGAGUCCAUAUCAACAAGAAGACCUACGACCUCGAUGUUGGAUCAGGGUCCCCUGACGGUGUAGCAGCUGUCAAUGGUUCGUUUGUUCAACGAUUAAUACCCU
rnacentral:rRNA from 1 species